rnacentral:rRNA from 1 species
UGGCCGGGCAAGUCCGUUGGGAAAUCCACCCGCUUAACGGGUGGGCGUCCGGCGGAAACUGCUCGGCUUGGGACCGGAAGACCCGAGGGGUACGUCCAGGGUAGGAGUGAAAUCCCGUAAUCCUGGACGGACCGCCGGUGGCGAAAGCGCCUCGGGAAGACGGAUCCGACAGUGAGGGACGAAAGCUAGGGUCUCGAACCGGAUUAGAUACCCGGGUAGUCCUAGCCGUAAACGAUGCCCGCUAGGUGUGGCGCAGGCUACGAGCCUGCGCUGUGCCGUAGGGAAGCCGCGAAGCGGGCCGCCUGGGAA